rnacentral:rRNA from 1 species
AUUGAACGCUGGCGGCAUGCCUUACACAUGCAAGUCGAACGGCAGCAUGGAGAGCUUGCUCUCUGAUGGCGAGUGGCGAACGGGUGAGUAAAGCAUCGGAACGUACCGUGUAGUGGGGGAUAACGUAGCGAAAGUUACGCUAAUACCACAUACGCACUGAGGUGGAAAGCAGGGGAUCGCAAGACCUUGCGCUAUACGAGCGGCCGAUGUCAGAUUAGCUAGUUGGUAGGGUAAAGGCCUACCAAGGCGACGAUCGGUAGCGGGUCUGAGAGGAUGAUCCGCCACACUGGGACUGAGAAACGGCCCAGACUCCGACGGGAGGCAGCAGUGGGGAAUUUUGGACAAUGGGGGCAACCCUGAUCCAGCCAUGCCGCGUGAGUGAAGAAGGCCUUCGGGUUGUAAAGCUCUUUCGGCCGGGAAGAAAUCGCACAGGCUAAUACUCUGUGUGGAUGACGGUACCGGCAUAAGAAGCACCGGCUAACUGCGUGCCAGCCGCCGCCGUAA